AUUGAACGCUGGCGGCAGGCCUAACACAUGCAAGUCGAGCGAGCGGCGGACGGGUGAGUAAUGUAUGGGGACUGCCCGAUAGAGGGGGAUAACUACUGUAAACGGUGGCUAAUACCGCAUACGAUCGGAUGACACAUAGUGGAUUAGCUAGUCGGUGGGGUAAAGGCUCACCUAGGCGACGAUCCCUAGCUGGUCUGAGAGGAUGAUCAGCCACACUGGGACUGAGACACGGCCCAGACUCCUACGGAGGCAGCAGUGGGGAAUCUUGCGCAAUGGGCUAAAGCCUGAUGCAGCCAUGCCGCGUGUAUGAAGAAGGCCUUAGGGUUGUAAAGUACUUUCGGCGGAGAGGCGUUACCCGCAGAAGAAGCCCCGGCUAACUCCGUGCCAGCAGCCGCGGUAAUUC
rnacentral:rRNA from 1 species